rnacentral:lncRNA from 1 species
GGUGAACGAAUCUAAAUGUUUAGAGUAUAUUUUAGUAUUUUUGAGAAUUUAUUGGAUAUUUUAAAGGUUGGAAUUGUAAAAGGAGAACUUUAGGGUACACCACUGGGAGUUUCGUAUUAGCUGAAAAUAGUUUUAUUAAGUUUUAGACCUUAAUGAUGUGCAAAAAGGGUUGGCAUGACUCUUUACAAGUUUAUGAGUUUAUCUACUAUUUUUAGGAAUUUUGGUCGAAUUUUUGGAUAAAAGGAAAUGGAAGAAAAAACAGUUGGGUACACUCAGCCGUGUGUACCUAGCGAUUUCAUGCAGUUUGUGAGGCCAACCAGUGGGGCCAGGUCAACAGAUCAGCGGAGCCGUGGUGGAGGGUGACUGUGCUAUGGACUGGUGUGGUGGAUUCGUGGACCAAGUGUUGGAUGUGAGGGUGGUCUAGUGGACCGGGUGCAGCGCUCGGUGCUGACAAGGUGGUAGCAUGGCGCGUGUGUGUUGCUGAUGCGUGGGGCUGGUGCUGGUGUGGCUGCCACGUGGGAGCGCUGCCCAUGAUCAGGCGCCGGGCGCGGCGGCGGAGCAGGGGGGUCACCAGAGUUCUCGCCAUCGACCGCUACAGAGCCGCGUUUGUGGCGAGGACUAGCUCUAAGUGUUGGUGUUUUAGACCGGCAACCCGCCUAGGGGGUACCCUAGGUGGUCUUGUGUGCGGUAAGGAUCGUCGAGAAUCAAGAAAU